AACAGAUAGCAAUAUAAAGACAACACUACAUGGCUAGCAAGCUACAUAGAACACUUGGCAGUAAAUUAAGGGAGAAGGCAAAGCACCAGAAAAAGAAACAAAAUGCUUUUGCAGCAGUUACCGAUAAGACAUGGGUCAAACAAAAUCAAAUACAGUAAGAAUAUCGGCAUUCAAAUAAUUCUUUAGAUGCCAUAAAGUGCCUUAUUAGGAGAAAAGUAAAGCUGAUAGGCUUAAAUAACAAAAGAAAAAGAAAGAAUGUGAAAAUGUG
rnacentral:misc_RNA from 1 species